rnacentral:misc_RNA from 1 species
AAGUCGUAACAAGGUUUCCGUAGGUGAACCUGCGGAAGGAUCAUUACCGAGAGAGGGACGUGCGGUUGCUUGCGGCCCACGUCCCGGGGGGUUUCCCCUCUACUCUUCAACCCUAUGCGUACCAACCUCUGUUGCUUCGGCGAGCGCCGGGGGGCCUCGUGCGCCCCGGCCCCGGCUUCGGUCGGUGCGUUCUCGCCGAAGACCCAAUUCCAAUCCGUUUGCAGCCCCGUCCGAGCGCACCGAUAAAUCCAAUCAAAACUUUCAACAACGGAUCUCUUGGUUCUG